CCUACGGGUGGCAGCAGUGGGGAAUAUUGCACAAUGGGGGAAACCCUGAUGCAGCGACGCCGCGUGAGCGAGGAAGUAUUUCGGUAUGUAAAGCUCUAUCAGCAGGGACGAAAAAAGACGGUACCUGACUAAGAAGCCCCGGCUAACUACGUGCCAGCAGCCGCGGUAAUACGUAGGGGGCAAGCGUUAUCCGGAUUUACUGGGUGUAAAGGGAGCGUAGACGGCAGCGCAAGUCUGGAGUGAAAUGCCGGAGCCCAACCCCGGAACUGCUCUGGAAACUGUGAAGCUGGAGUGCAGGAGAGGUAAGCGGAAUUCCUGGUGUAGCGGUGAAAUGCGUAGAUAUCAGGAGGAACACCGGCGGCGAAGGCGGCUUACUGGACUGUAACUGACGUUGAGGCUCGAAGGCGUGGGGAGCAAACAGGAUUAGAUACCCUAGUAGUC
rnacentral:rRNA from 1 species